UAACGCGUAUGCAACCUGUCCGUUACAGGGGAAUAGCCCAUGGAAACGUGGAUUAAUGCUCCAUAAUAUAAUAUAGAGGCAUCUUUAUGUUAUUAAAUAUUUAUAGGUAACGGUUGGGCAUGCGUCCUAUUAGAUAGUUGGGGGGGUAACGGCCCACCAAGUCGAUGAUAGGUAGGGGUUCUGAGAGGAAGGUCCCCCACACUGGUACUGAGACACGGACCAGACUCCUACGGGAGGCAGCAGUGAGGAAUAUUGGUCAAUGGGCGAGAGCCUGAACCAGCCAAGUCGCGUGAGGGAUGACUGCCCUAUGGGUUGUAAACCUCUUUUGUAUGGGGGGAAUAAGCUUUACGAGUAGAGUGAUGACAGUACCAUACGAAUAAGCAUCGGCUAACUCCGUGCCAGCAGCCGCGGUAAUACGGAGGAUGCGAGCGUUAUCCGGAUUUAUUGGGUUUAAAGGGUGCGUAGGCGGCAUUAUAAGUUAGUGGUAAAAUAUUGGGGCUUCACCUCACUACGCCAUUAAUACUGUAGAGCUAGAGAACAGACGAGGUAGGCGGAAUAAGUUAAGUAGCGGUGAAAUGCAUAGAUAUAACUUAGAACACCGAUAGCGAAGGCAGCUUACCAGACUGAGUCUGACGCUGAUGCACGAGAGCAUGGGUAGCGAACAGGAUUAGAUACCCUGGUAGUCCAUGCCGUAAACGAUGCUCACUGGCCUUAGGCGAUAUACGGUCU
rnacentral:rRNA from 1 species